rfam:Sporanaerobacter acetigenes DSM 13106 genome assembly, contig: EJ96DRAFT_scaffold00010.10
UUAAAGAUACUUUCGUAUAGCCAUAGUCCGAGCGUUAGAAGCGUCGCAGGCAAUGGGUACGGCUCGUCAUAAGAAUGAGGAGAGGUGAGAUUCCUAUGG